rnacentral:rRNA from 1 species
UACGAAGGGUGCAAGCGUUAAUCGGAAUUACUGGGCGUAAAGCGCGCGUAGGUGGUUCGUUAAGUUGGAUGUGAAAGCCCCGGGCUCAACCUGGGAACCUGGCAUCCAAAACUGGGCGAGCUAAGAGUACGGUAGAGGGUGGUGGAAUUUCCUGUGUAGCGGGUGAAAUGCGUAGAUAUCAAUUUGGAACGCCAAUGGUGAAAACAUGGGUAGCCUGG